CUGAUCCCAUCCCGAACUCAGAAGUGAAACGUUUCAUCGCCGAUGGUAGUGUGGGGUUUCCCCAUGUGAGAGUAGGUCACCGCCAGGC
rnacentral:rRNA from 1 species